AGAGUUUGAUCCUGGCUCAGGAUGAACGCUGGCGGCGUGCCUAAUACAUGCAAGUCGAACGGAGGAGUAGCAAUACUUUCUCAGUGGCGAACGGGUGAGUAACGCGUUGGUGACCUGCCCCGAAGUGGGGGACAACAGCUCGAAAGGGCUGCUAAUACCCCAUGUGAUCAUCGGUUUUAGAAUCUGGUGAUUAAAGGAGUAAUUCGCUUCGGGAGGGGCCUGCGUCCCAUCAGCUAGUUGGUAAGGUAAUGGCUUACCAAGGCGAUGACGGGUAGGGGACCUGAGAGGGUGACCCCCCACAAUGGAACUGAAACACGGUCCAUACACCUACGGGUGGCAGCAGUAGGGAAUAUUGGUAAUGGGCGAAAGCCUGAACCAGCAACGCCGCGUGUGCGAUGAAGGCCUUCGGGUUGUAAAGCACUUUUUGAGGGGAUGAGGAAGGACAGUACCCUCAGAAUAAGUCUCGGCUAACUACGUGCCAGCAGCCGCGGUAACACGUAGGAGACUAGCGUUAUCCGGAUUUACUGGGCGUAAAGCGCGUGCAGGUGGCUCGGAAAGUUCGAUGUGAAAGCUCCCGGCUUAACUGGGAGAGGUCGUUGAAUACUUUCGGGCUAGAGGAUGGGAGAGGGAGGCGGAAUUCCGGGUGUAGUGGUGAAAUGCGUAGAUAUCCGGAGGAACACCAGUGGCGAAAGCGGCCUCCUGGCCCAUUUCUGACACUCAGACGCGAAAGCUAGGGUAGCAAACGGGAUUAGAUACCCCGGUAGU
rnacentral:rRNA from 1 species